CCAAUUUUAUAUACUAGUGUGUAUGCCGCUGUCAAAGGUGGUACUACACUACUACUAUUAUGUAAACGUUGAACUAGAUCAAUUGGUGUGGAUUGCUUGGGAAUGGGCGAAGCGACAAGCCUCUUCCGGACAGGCAAACCCCACACUGAUAACCUUUUCAAUAUAAUUUACUAGUACAUACUACAAACAAACAAACCAAACAAAAGCUAUAUAGGACUUAUAAACAGGCUGAGUGGGUAAAAUCCUCGGCUUAACAAUAUAACUAUUA
rnacentral:misc_RNA from 1 species